UCAGGAUGAACGCUGGCGGCGUGCCUAAUACAUGCAAGUCGUACGAGGGAAGUCCAGCUUGCUGGACGGAACGAGUGGCGAACGGGUGAGUAAUACGUAAGCAACCUGCCUGCAAGGACUGGGAUAACACCUGGAAACGGGCGCUAAUACCGGAUAGGUAACAAAGGGGCAUCCCUAUGUUAUUAAAGGUUAGAAACACAAGCAGAUGGGCUUACGGUGCAUUAGCUAGUUGGUGAGGUAACGGCCCACCAAGGCGAUGAUGCAUAGCCGGCCUGAGAGGGUGAACGGCCACAUUGGGACUGAGACACGGCCCAGACUCCUACGGGAGGCAGCAGUAGGGAAUUUUCGGCAAUGGACGAAAGUCUGACCGAGCAACGCCGCGUGAGUGAAGAAGGUUUUCGGAUUGUAAAGCUCUGUUGUAAGGGAAGAACAGCACGGAAAGAAUCCGUGAAUGACGGUACCUUACCAGAAAGCCACGGCUAACUACGUGCCAGCAGCUGC
rnacentral:rRNA from 1 species